GCCGGAUGAGAUCCAAUGUGUCAACAUUGCAACAGAAAAACAAUCAUUCUUUUGUUCGUGGGAAAGAUUCAACUCAAACCCUUGUUAAAUUGGCAGGGGUUGCAUCUUUCAUGUGAAAGAAGGAUUCAUCUUUCUUCACAUGAAUCCAUCAAUGGACUGCGUAAUAGUUGCUUCAAGAACUAUGCAGGAUGAAUGAAAGAGUUCGAAAUGCAUUCAGAUUUCUGUGAGGUGCAAUCCAGAGGUCAAUGUUGUGGAAGAAGAUCAAUCAUUCUUUCAAAUGACAGAUGCAAUCCAAACCCGAGUUUCG
rnacentral:lncRNA from 1 species